CAAGAGCAUGUGGUGGAUGCCUUGGCGAUGAUAGGCGACGAAGGACGUGAUAGCCUGCGAUAAGCCUCGGGGAGCUGGCAAAUGAGCUGUGAUCCGGGGAUUUCCGAAUGGGGAAACCCACCUGCAAAGGUAUCGCUGCCUGAAUACAUAGGGCAGCGAGGCGAACCGGGCGAACUGAAACAUCUCAGUAGCUCGAGGAAAAGACAUCAACCGAGAUUCCGAAAGUAGUGGCGAGCGAAAUCGGAGGAGCCUGCACGAUGUAGCCAUCGACUUAUCAGAACGGUCUGGAAAGGCCGGCCACAGAGG
rnacentral:rRNA from 1 species